UGACAUCAUGCAGUAUACAUCCCGUCAUGUGAAACCAAGAUGAGUGCAACUUAUGUUUUUGUUAAUUUGUAGGUAAUGCCAUUUGGUAUCUCACUAUAAUGACUGUCAGUAGGCAGGCAAGUCCAGGUGCUUUGCACAAAAACAACACGGGGAUCUUUGCCGAAAAAACAAAAACAACAAAUGUGUCUGGGAACUAUGUACGCUCUGUUAAUUAGAGCUGAGAUAGCAGAGAUUAGUCUUCAAGCACAACCAUAUUACAGAGAGUCAUGCCAAAUAAGGAAAAACAAAAGUAGGAGACAGGCAGACUCACUACAAAAACAAUGUCCCAAAGCUACUAAUCAAACAACUCCCAAUCUAGAUCUAGACCUCAGAUUACACUAAUGAAUUCUAAUUCUUAUGUUUUAGCAUGUAAAUAUGUAUUAAAAUGGGAGACGGAGACAAUCCCUGCCUACAGCAAAGGUUUUAGCAUAAAUGAUCUGUACUUGUGAGCUUCAUGCUGCACCUUUGAAGCAUUUUUAAAGCAGCAGGAUUUUGUUGCUGUAUCCUCAAAUCAGUUUUUUGGGGGUUUGCCAUUUAACAUGGCAUUUAUUUUUUUUCAAUGAACAUUAUCAGCUUUCUUACCUCUGAGGAAGAUAGAUUCAGCUGGCUCUGUUCCUCAGCAACCACAGAGUAGCUGAGCGCUUUGUCUGGUUGAUAUUAUCAACCAAAAACCUGGACGACACGUGCAGCCGUCCGGACGGCGUGGUUGCAGAAAUGAUAUAAAACACAUCUUAAAAAUGAAUCACUACGUAGUUGAUCCAUUCUGAACCAAAAGCCCAGCAAAGAAGUAUUUACUGUAGGAAGCAGAGGCCUGCGGGCUGGACAGGCACAAUAAUUUCAAGUGUUGGAUGCAGGGGAGGUCUAGUGUUUCUUGAAAUAAAAAUCAAUUACCAUUGCAGUGUUGUUUAAUCUGUUUUAGCUCUGUAGUGUGAGACAUUUGGAGAUUUAAAGCUAGCCUUUUGCUAUAACUUUAGUACUGCUGAACAGUGGCUGUUGCAGCCACAGUGACAAUUUCAGGAUAAUGGGAAAAUGUAGUGUACCGGCAGCACAGAGCAGUAUCAGUAAUUAAGUCAGCAGUCUCAGUAAUCAGGGGCGUGUCGGGGGGGUGGCACUGGAAAUAUGGCCACCCCAAGUCUCACCCCAUUAUCCUUACCUCUGACACUCCACACUGUCUUUCAGAGGCUCUAGAUGACCUAACACAUCCAUUGCUACCAACCAUGUCAUACUUGCAUGUCAGGAAGGGGACUAAAUAACGCUCCAAAUUCAGGCUACGUUUUUGCCAUCUAAAAACUGGCAUUGCCAUUUUUAAAGGCAUCCUUUGACCUUUGACCUUUGAGCUUAAGAUAUGGGAAUGAAAACAGAUUAUAUCAUACACUUUAUGCUAAUUCCAUGCUGUUUUGUGUUUCAUACCAGGACAAAGAAGGCUGUAGCAGCAAACUACAGUGAAGACAACGAGUGGACCAGCAUCUUCGGACUGUAAACCAUGCUGACAUUCCUGUGCUGAGAAACUACAAACAUACAAGGGAGACAUUCCUAAAAUCUGAGGGCUGUCAGACUGCACCCAACCCGCAAACACACAAACGAUGAAUUCCUGCACUACAGCUUGUACCAAUGAAUAAAAAAUAAAGUGAAA